AACGGGGAAUUAGGGUUCGAUUCCGGAGAGGGAGCCUGAGAAACGGCUACCACAUCUAAGGAAGGCAGCAGGCGCGCAAAUUACCCAAUCCUAAUACAGGGAGGUAGUGACAAGAAAUAACAAUACAGAGCCUUACGGUUUUGUAAUUGGAAUGAGUUAAGUAUAAACCCCUUAACAAGUAUCAAUUGGAGGGCAAGUCUGGUGCCAGCAGCCGCGGUAAUUCCAGCUCCAAUAGCGUAUAUUAAAGUUGUUGCAGUUAAAAAGCUCGUAGUUAAUUUUCUGUUAAUUUUUAUAUACAAUGCUACGGUAUUUAUAUAAUAUUAACAUAAUUCAUAUUACUUUUUAGUAUAUGAAACUUUACUUUGAGAAAAUUAGAGUGCUUAAAGCAGGCUAUUGCCUUGAAUACUCCAGCAUGGAAUAAUAUUAAGGAUUUUUAUUCUUCUUAUUGGUUCUAGAAUAAAAAUAAUGAUUAAUAGGGACAGUUGGGGGCAUUUGUAUUUAACAGUCAGAGGUGAAAUUCUUAGAUUUGUUAAAGACAAACUA
rnacentral:rRNA from 1 species